rnacentral:rRNA from 1 species
UACGACGGGGGCUAGCGUUGUUCGGAAUUACUGGGCGUAAAGCGCGCGCAGGCGGUUCUUCAAGUCAGAGGUGAAAGCCCAGAGCUCAACUCUGGAAUGGCCUUUGAGACUAGAGAACUAGGGUACGGGAGAGGUGAGUGGAAUUCCGAGUGUAGAGGUGAAAUUCGUAGAGAUUCGGAAGAACACCAGUGGCGAAGGCGGCUCACUGGCCCGUUACCGACGCUCAGGCGCGACAGGGUGGGGAGCAAACAGG